GCCAGGUGUGUGGCUCACACCUGUAAUCCCAACUCAGAAGACUGAGGCGGAAGAACUGUUUGAGGCUAGGAGUUCCAGACCAGCCUGGGAUGUAAAAUGAGAUUCCAUCUCCA
rnacentral:SRP_RNA from 9 species